rnacentral:lncRNA from 1 species
GGGAGCUGCCCCCGCCCCCGAGCCGCGAGCCCCGCGCCGGGCCGGGGAGUCCCCGGCGCCACACGCCCCCACCACCCCCAUCUUAGCGCCCCCCACCCUCUAUGGAGACAUUUCAACCAGGGAGAAGGGAGGUCCUGCCCUUGCCCCUCGCCCCCGCCCCCCUCCUCCAACAGGGGAGACUUCUGUCCAAACCUUGGAAGGAAACGAGAUGCCAGGCCUAGCGCCUUCGGGGAUCCUCUCUGGACAAGGCCACAGGGUGAAAACACCAGCACUUCCUGGAGGCGUUUGACCGGGACCUGGGAGGGCAGCUGGGAAGUGCCUGACCAUUCUCAAGGAGCUGCGUGGAUUCCAGACAUCUCUGGGCUGGUCUCUGGACCGGGAUGGGGGACCCAGAGGUGGAGCCGAACACACAAACAGCACUUGAGGGCUCCGAGGGUGGUGAGGAGAGAAGCUCCUGCUCUGGUACAGCACUGAAGCUAAGAAGUGCUGGAGACAGCAGUUGCUUUAGCCACAGGCUGUGUAGACCACCUGAGGAUGAUCUGGAGGUCUGUUUUGUGCACCUUGGAACCCAUCGGAUCCCUCCAAUGACACAUUUGUCCAGAGCAAGACAAGAUCACACUUUGACAGCCGUCUGUCAAGAUCCUUGCUCCAAAUAUCCAGACUAGCAGCUAGGAGUCUCCAUGCUGUUCUGAAGAAGCAGAUUCCUCACCCACCCUUCAACUCCUUCCCAGGAGGUAAUCCUCCUCCAAAUCUCUGGAAAAGAUACACCUCCUCUUCUCUGAUAAAGGCUAGGGGGUGAUGCCCCUCCCCCAGGUUCCCAAUAAAGCUAUGCAAGACAGGGGCAAGGGAUCUCACGGCCUGUUUUUGCUACAAAAACCCUUUUUCGGAAAAAAUAAUAAAGAAAGGAAUCAGCCAAUCCCUCCUCGAUGCCA